rnacentral:lncRNA from 1 species
AAGUAUUUCUUUUAAAAAACCUACAGUUUUAGUUAAAAUUGUACAGAUUUAAUAUAAAAUUGUAGAAUACUCCAGUUUGAGUCUGGGGUACUGCGUGGUAGAUUUCUGGAUGAUCCCCUGCUUUAGAUGCCUUGUCAUACUUAGAAUUGUCCACCUAAUUUCUUUUUCUACAAUGCCAAGGUUUUUCUUGUACUUUUGGGAUCUUAUGCUAUUUGUAAACUAUUAGUAUCUGGUGUUAGAUUACUUUGUUUGAUUUUAGACAUUUGCUGAGUAGAUAAUAUGGGUAUUUUUCUGCGAGUAUUUAAACCAGGGAUUCAUGCGAAUCAGUUAUAAUUUCCUUUUGGAAAAAGUAUCCCGUGUUUGAAAGUUAGAAUCGGAUGCUAGGGUUGAGAUUUAGGAUUAUUACCAUAUAGGCUUGUUUGCAAACCAGUUAAUUUUUUCCUGGGGUUUUAACUGUUAACUCACCAGUUUGCUGCUGUUGAAAUAACAUACGAUAUCUCACAUAGAGAUUUAUUUUUCAAGGUGUCUCACUGGUCUCCUCUUGCACAAUGUCCAUACUUCAGGAUGUGUGGAAAGGAAAGCUACAAUGGAGCCCUUAUAGAUGUUUGAAGGCGAGUGGAAACAACACCCGCCUGUUGCACAUGGAUUUGUACGAAGGCCAGCCAGAUGACAUCUAAAGGAAGCUUAGAAGCUUGAAACAUCCUCCCUCAUUAAUAGUAAGUUUUCUCUUUUGGUAAUGUAAGUGCAAUUCAAGAC